AUUCCAUGGUGGGGACAUUUUCUCAAGAACUCCAUUGAACCGCUCUUGUUCCUCAUAUAAAGAUUCUCCUUCAAGUUGCUAAAAUGAAGUGAUUUCAUUAUGAAGCUU